rnacentral:rRNA from 1 species
GUGCCCCGCGGUAAUACGGGGGGAGCAAGCGUUGUUCGGAUUUACUGGGCGUAAAGGGCGCGUAGGCGGCGCAACAAGUCACUUGUGAAAUCUCCGGGCUUAACCCGGAGCGGUCAAGUGAUACUGUCGUGCUAGAGUGCGGAAGGGGCUACUGGAAUUCUCGGUGUAGCGGUGAAAUGCGUAGAUAUCGAGAGGAACACCUGCGGCGAAGGCGGGUAGCUGGGCCGACACUGACGCUGAUGCGCGAAAGCCAGGGGAGCGAACGGG